rnacentral:rRNA from 1 species
ACACAUGCAAGUCGCAACGCUGAAGCCCGCAGCUUGCUGUGGGUGGAUGAGCUGGCGAACGGGUGAGUAACACGUGAGUAACCUGCCCCCGACUUCGGGAUAAGCCCGGGAAACUGCGGUCUAAUACCGGAUAUGACAACCGAAGGCAUCUUCGGUUGUGGACAAGUUUUUUCGGUUGGGGAUGGGCUCGCGGCCUAUCAGUCUGUUGGUGAGGUAAUGGCUCACCAAGACGACCACGGGUAGCCGGCCUGAGAGGGCGACCGGCCACACUGGGACUGAGACACGGCCCAGACUCCUACGGGAGGCAGCAGUGGGGAAUAUAGCACAAUGGGGGAUUCCCCGCAUGCAGCGACGCAGCGUGCGGGAUGACGGCCUUCGGGUUGUAAACCGC